CUCGCGAUUUCAGCGAAUAGUCAAAGACGACCACAAUGCAGAAGAAAAUUCCACACUGUCUAGAUCCGCGUUGUUGCAACUUUAACAGUCUAUUCUUCUUAUGAAGAGGACAUUCCAACUAGCUGGGAGACCGAUUCAUCAAAGCCGCAAAAGAUUGUCGCGUUUGAGCCUAGAACUCAAGUUGAGCAGCAAAUCAUACAGCAGCAAAUGGGUGAUUCCCUACUAGAAGUGGUCGUUGCCACUAUUCCACACAUCGCGUGGCACCGUGGGAUGAACUUCAUGAUGUUCCUUCUUCUCUUCUCUCAUUAUUGUCCUUGCGGGAACAAUUUCGUGAAAGUUUCGGCCCCAAAAAGUUGUUUCCCGUGAGUUCGGACCAGUUAAUCGAUGGUUGUUUUUUACAACAUAAAAAAGGUAAGGUAGGAAAAAACUCUGCUAGUUUACUAUUCUAGAACUCCACACUGAUCGAUUAACUUUAUGGAAACGCAGGGGUGGUGAAGUGGAAUCCGAUUCUUCUGGCUCUCCAUUGAGAAGUAUAUCCUUGACUACGGCUGAGCACCGGCAUUAUUCAUCAGUUUAAUCAAAAAAUAUUCAAGUUUUGAAAAUUUAAUGCUCUGACAAUUUCGCUAGAAAAUAUCCUUAAACCCUUAUGUUAAACUGAGGGUUAAAUUUUAAACUAAAGUAUAAAGUGUGCGUGCGAAAUAAGAACCCCUAAGAACUUGGUGCUAUGCUCUUCUAGAUCAGAAGCUCCUGAAGUUGCGCCAGACACGCGCCACCUCCCUUGUUCUUGCAGAUCCAUCCAUCCCUUGCAAGUGGAAGAACAAAUAACUAUGCAGUGUUUUAGCACUUGCAAUUGUAGUGAUUGUAGGUGUGGGUGUAAACAUAUACAACGCUAGAACCACCGCCCUUCUUCUCCUUGUCCUUCUUUGGGGGCUCAUAAUCGUUCUCGACAGAACGAAGAAUGCUGUGGUGGCAAUCCAUCGCCUUGACCACGUCGUCCACAUCAAAUUUGCCGAUCACUACCAGGCCUGACGACUCCCAUUCCACCUUAUCAACCCCUGUUGUUCAAAAACAAGAAACGAUAUCAGCUUUCAAAUGUCCAAUCCAAGUUUGUACAUACCUUUGAUCUUCUUAAGCACAUCAGUCUUUCCCUCGCAGCUCCCACAAGUUGAGAGUGUCACCUUCUUCAUGCUUGCAAAAGGAGGAAAAAUGGAUCGAGAUUUUUUUUUGAACCUUUGCUGAGACUUUGCAACUCCGAAGAACACGCUGCGAGAUGCCUUGCUGCUCACGGUCGAACUUUGUGGCGGUUUUUAUAGCUGGAUUCUACAGUUUAGCCACCGCUAAAUUGCCAAAGUCGAAGACCAUUUCAAAGCUUCUCUCUUGCAUUGUAUAGAAAGUUUUCAGAGCGUACACUGGACUUUCACAUGGGCUUCCCUUUCUCGUGCCUCACAUUUGACGUCAUUUGAUGAGUUGCAGCUUUUUGAAAUCGCUGACAAAACCCAUGCUGGGAGACCAAAGAAGCGUCCUUGACUUAAACUUUUACCCCCACAAUCGCGACUGGCCAUCAACUUUGUCAAAUCCAUUCCAGCUGGGAGACCAAAGAAGCUUACAUUGAUCGCUUAAAUCCAUGGUAAGAUUGAAAGGUCAGUGUACGUUCACGGAACAUUUUUCUAAACUUUGAAGCUUGAAUAGCAUUAUACAUUCUUCUAAACAAAUCAAAUCGAGUCUGAUACUGUGGCUCUCAGCUCUAGUAAAGUUCUAUUUUGAACUCACUUCAUCAAAACAUCAUUUUUAUCCUGCAAUUGAAAAGUGACUUCGUUCAAGUCUCCUCCUGUUGAGAGGAAUAAAACAAAUGGUUUUUUUCAGAGUUCCACUCUUUAAAAUGUGAUGACGCACGUUCAUUUUCAAACUCUUAGGAAGAGAAUUAAUCUCCUCAAAGUUCAAGGUUAAGAACGAACCACAUUCCUUUACAGUCAAAUGCACCGGUGCAUCUUCUUUCUUUCUGUGGCAUCAAUGUUUUAGAUUCACUUUUGAACUCUGAGCCGAGAAAAAUUAAUGCCCUUGAUUGAGACAUCAACUUUAGAAAUUGCUUCACCUCCCAUGAAUUCCACAUUCAAGAAUUUGAGGUAGAAGAGAAAAUCUAUUUUUACACACAAACACUAUUUAACUCACUUCCAGUACUGGUUGUAGGUGUGGGUGUACACAUAUAUAACGCUAGAGCCUUCUUCCUUCUUGUCUUCCUUCUUUUUGGGGGGCUCGUAAUUGUUCUCGAUGGAACGAAGGACACUGUGAGGGCAAUCCAUCGCCUUUAGCACGUCGUCCACAUCAAAUUUUCCAAUCACCACCAGGCCUGACGACUCCGAUUCCACCUUAUCGACCCCUAUUGGGAAAACCGCACCAGAGAUUUCAUGGAAUCAGGGCCGCGAUCCAAUGCAAAGAUUGUGCUAUACCUUUGAUCUUCUUGAGCGCGUCAGUCUUCCCCUUGCAGCUUUCACAAGUUGAGAGUGUCGCCUUCUUCAUGCUUACAAGGAAAGGAAACUGGAUCGAGAAAACUAGUUGCUCGCUCAAGAUGUUUGCUUGAAGCUUGCCAGAAAAUCAAGAAAUACGCUGCGAGAUGCCUUGCUGCUAACGUUUGCGGUUUUUAUAGCUUGAUUCUACGGUAUAGUCUUCGUAGGACGACGCGUCACCGCGAUUUCAGCGAAUAGUCAAAGAGAAGAAAAUUCCACACGUCUAGAUCCGCGGUGUUGCAACUUUAACUGUCUAUUCUUCUUAUGAGAGACCGAUUCAUCAAAGCCUGCAAAAGGUUGUCGCGUUUGAACCCAGCAGCAAAUCAUACAGCAGCAAGCCUUCGGGCAUGGGUGAUUCCCUACUCAAAGUGGUCGUUGCCACUAUUCCAACACAUUGCGUGGCACCGUGGGAAAGCGAAGAGACGAACUUCAUGAUCAGAGACUGUUCCUUCUUCUCCUCUCUCCACUUCACCACCCCUGCGUUUCCAAAAAGACUUUACCUUUUUUUUUAUGUUGUAACUUUUUGGCGCCGAAUCUCCCAUGAAAUCCCGCAAGGUGAUAUAGACAUUGAACAAAAGGUUGUUCUUAUCUUGGGCCCUUUGUUCUCUCUCUCUCUCUCUCUCCCUCGCUCUGAGAUUCUUUCUGUCACGGAAUCUAGAAGUAUAGCCUUGACUACGGCGACGUGCACUGGCAUUUGUGCUAUGCAAAGUCUUUUGCAUCUAACUUUUGGAAACCUUACUUCCACGAUCGAAUUCCACGUCGAGGCAUCUCGCUGGAGCAUCCCAUCGAACGUUCUGCGAGACCGAGGAUGAAUUUGGCCAUAGUGUUUUAGCAGAUUCUUUCCACUGCGGAUGCAAAGCGUGAUCAUCACAUUCCAAGAGAUCUCGUUCUUCUCUGGAGCCAAUUUGAAUGCUCUUCAUGGGGCCAGAAGCCUCAGGGCACCAGUUUCAUGCAGAACACUUUCACAAAAAAAAGAAAGAAAGAGUUUCUAGAUCUGAAACUCUUGAAAUUAUUUCAUACACACCCUUGUUCUUGCAGAUCCAUCCAUCCCUUGCAAUUGGAAGAACAAAUUAGCACUUGCAAUUGUAGUGAUUGUAGUUGUGGGCGUAAACAUACAAAACGCUACCGCCCUCCUUCUUCUCUUCCUUCUUCUCUUCCUUCUUCUUUGGGGGCUCGUAAUUGUUCUCGAUGGAACGAAGAACACUGUGGUGGCAAUUCAUCGCCUUGACCACGUCGUCCACAUCAAAUUUGCCGAUCACUACCAGGCCUGACGUCUCCG
rnacentral:lncRNA from 1 species